AUCGCCUCAGCAGCUGCGGGGAGAGGAUGCUGCGAACAGAGAAAGCUGUCGCUGAGGCGGGCGAGAAAAACCCGAGCGCUCAAAAAUUACAACUGCACUAUUAGGGAGAGGACUCGCGUAAUUUCAAAAAGGAAACGCAGGUGGUGGACGUCCUCGCCUCUUUUCGGAUUGGACAGUAAACGUAGAGGCCCAAAGAAUGAAGACCAAUGGCUUGGAGGAUGAAGACAAGUGUUCAAAGGACCACGAGCGCAGCUCUGGUGAUGCUGUAGCAGCACGGAAUGGUUUGUGGGUUACACUGAGAUGCAGGCCAUGCUGUGCUGCCACAGUAAAGCCUGAAUACACCACCCGGGUCACCUGACAGCCCUUCAACAUACUGAGGCGGACUGGAUUGGGUGUCCAUCGCCUGAAUACACCACACGGGCAGAUCUUCCUGUCUGACGACAAAAGCAGCGUUUGGAGCAACCUCUCUCAUUUGCGGGUCUCCUUACUGUAGCAGCACGUAAAUAUUGGAGUUAAGACUUGCUGAAGCCUCCAGUAUUGAUCGUGCUGCUGAAGCAAAGCUGACCACUCACAAUGAGCUCCACCGACCAGCUGGGGGGGGGAUGAGUGAUGGGCUGCGUUUGCUCUAGAGAUGCUUUCAGGUACUGUUUACACACAGCUUCUAAGUGAACCGCUAACACGUCAUUGCUUUUAGUUGUUAAAUAAUGUACACAGUAUGUUUAGUUUUCACUGUUCUGUAUGCACACUUGGAGAAAAAUAAAAUUCUGAAUGGGC